AUGGACCCGCCCGUGACCGGACCGAGAGCAUGUUAUCUAGCUGCGCCUCGCGAUCCCCCCACUGCGGCGCCCUGCCCCGUGCUGACGCCGCGGGCGCGGGCGGCUCAGCCCGCCGGGAAGGCGGGCUUUCCCCCCGCCGCGCGGACCGGCGCGCUCAGGGCCAGCAGGGGAUGCGCCACUCUGCCGCUGGUCCCGCCGUGCCGGAGCCGGUGGAGCGCCGUCGUGUGCAACGCGUCGGUGUACAUCAUCCCGCUCAUGAAGCAGUGUGUCUCCGUCGCGGCCGCGGCAGUGCUCUUGCUUGCUAAAGGCACAGGCAUACACAAAUCCUUCAUCGUGCCAUUGUUUGUUCUGCAAGCACCUAGCACUGUAAUCUCAUGGAUCAAGAGUGAAUAUGGGAUGUGGACUGCUUUUCUUGCGCUUGCAGUGCGUUUGUUCUUACCCUUUCCAGGUGACCUAGAGCUUCCGCAGUCAACAAUGCUGGCGGUCAGCGUUGCUCCUUACCAGGUGAUGAAUGUGAGGUAUGUAACAUGCUCGCCAUUCCGGAAGACAUUAGCUAUACUGCUGCAUAUGUCUUUGAUAAUUCAUCCGCUUGGUCAGUUGUCCACUAAAUGUGAAGUGGCUAAAAAGAAAGGAAAUUAA
rnacentral:rRNA from 1 species